rnacentral:rRNA from 1 species
CCCUUAGAUGUCCUGGGCUGCACGCGCGCUACACUGGAAGUUACGGAUUGAGAUACUACCUUGUCCGAAAUGGCCCGGGUAAUCACCUAAAAGCUUGUCAUAAUUGGAAUGGAUUAUUGUAACUAGUAAUCCUGAACGAGGAAUUCCUAGUAAGUCCCAGUCAACAGCUGGUACUGAUUACGUCCCUGCCCUUUGUACACACCGCCCGUCGCUACUACUGAUUGGACGUUUAAGCAAGAUUUUUAAACACUGACAGUGUGUAGUUCACGCUAUACUACAGUGAGAAGAAGAAGAUCGAGCUUACUUGUCUAGAGGAAGUAAAAGUCGUAACA